rnacentral:rRNA from 1 species
GAGUAACCUGCCCUAGAGUGGGGGACAACAGCUGUAAACGACUGCUAAUACCGCAUAAGCCCACGGUACCGCAUGGCACUGAGGGAAAAGGAUUUAUUCGCUUUAGGAUGGACUCGCGUCCAAUUAGCUAGUUGGUGAGGUAACGGCCCACCAAGGCGACGAUUGGUAGCCGGACUGAGAGGUUGAACGGCCACAUUGGGACUGAGACACGGCCCAGACUCCUACGGGAGGCAGCAGUGGGGGAUAUUGCACAAUGGGGGAAACCCUGAUGCAGCGACGCCGCGUGGAGGAAGAAGGUUUUCGGAUUGUAAACUCCUGUCGUUAGGGACGAUAAUGACGGUACCUAAUAAGAAAGCACCGGCUAACUACGUGCCAGCAGCCGCGGUAAAACGUAGGGUGCAAGCGUUGUCCGGAAUUACUGGGUGUAAAGGGAGCGCAGGCGGGAAGACAAGUUGGAAGUGAAAACCAUGGGCUCAACCCAUG